rnacentral:lncRNA from 1 species
UUUUUUUUUUUUUUUUCCUUCUUAGACAUUUUGUGAAAGUUCAUUAGACAUUUCAAACAAAUUACUGUUGGGAAGUAGCCACCUCCAGAUAGCCUCUUGGUUCAGAGAGCAAAAUUUCUAUCUUCCAGCUCCCCAGGGUAAAUGAGGCAAAUCUGGGACAAGCCAUGAAUGAGCAAGUGAGCAGAAGCUGUGGGCACCUCUGAAUAUGUGUUCCUAUUCUCCCUACAUCUUCCCCCUCUGGCAUGGAAAUGUCACAAAGGUGCACAUGCCUAUACAAAUAUGUAUAAAAAGUAUGUGUACACACACAUAUAUAUAAAAAAUAUGUGUGUGUGUAUAUCCUAUAAAGGCAAACAAAACAUCUAGAAGGCACCAAGAUGCACAUCUUUGAAUUUCAAAACCAGGAUUCCUAAAAAUGCCAGUCCUUACCUCCUCCUCCCAUGGUGCCAGGCACUCUCAGCUCAAACAGAUUUAAGAGCACUUUGUGCCAGACCUUCUGCCAACUGGUUUCCAGGACAGAAAACAUCUCUCAUUCUCUUAAACAUCAAAAUUGCUUUCCAGAGGGGCUGCAAGGCAAGCUUUAAAACAACUUUCCGGUUAAUUAUCCCAACACUGGUUUUUUAAAACAUUUUCCAAAACCAUUGCAAAUACUUUCCCUGAUUAUAAAAGCUGUAUUUAUUUAUUGCCUUUAACCUAAACUUCAAGUGGUGUUGAUUAACAUUAAUCCAAAUGCAAUCUCCCCCUCUAAAUAAGAACACUGUAUGGACCUCCUAAAUUAAAGCAGUAUAUUCUGUGACUGUGCAGCUCUCCUGCAAGAAGCUGGGAAGAGCUGCUGCAGGAGAGGAAGGAUGGGGUGGGGAGGAAGGGCCCAUAACCCUUGUGACACGUGCAUGUCAAGCUCCCCAAGCCAAGGCACUCCCAGCAACUCCAGAUGAAUUUCCAGUCAUCCUGGGAACCUUCACUUCUGACAGAAACAGCCCCAGCUUUCAGAUUUAUGUAAUUUCUCCUCGAUCCAAGCAACAGCCAGCAGCCUCUGCUGAGCUCUGAUGGUUCAGGUUAAGAAUAAGCCGUGAAAUCACAGCACAAUUCCAGAUGCCAGGCAAAGAAACGGCUGCACCCUACUGGGGCUCUGCUCUCCAUGGCUUCCCAAACAGGAGAUGACAAAUAUAAAGGAUUCCUAAGACUUUCAGUGCCUGGCUGAGCAGCAGAUUCACAGGACAAAGCAAAGUGUCUCGCAACAGAGCAAACAGCUUUGGUUGCAACAAUAAUAAUAAUAAUAAUACAUGUUUUAAUUAAAACACAGCUCUCCAGGAAUACCAGUUUGGUAGCUGCUAUGAAAGUACAUCACUUGGAAAUUGUUUUGUUCAGGGUGGGUUUGGGGUUUUUCACAAAAAACAAUGCAAUUUUUAUGCACUGACAAUAUUCUUAUUAUACAAAACAAAGCUUUUCACGCUGUACACCACUACUAAAAACUUGAAAGCAGGAGACAAGGACGAAGUAAAAAUGUUGACAAACCUACACUAAAGAACACUGUCAGAAACAUUCAGAUACUAAUAUCAUCCUUUCUUAAUUGUAGGCUUCUAUUGUUAGAGCUUCACACUAUGGUGAUGGGAAACAAAACAUACAAAAAAUAAUUUUUUUUAAUUGCUCAUGCCAUUCAUAAACAUGAUCUAUCCUAUCCCCUGCAGAAGAUAAACCAAGAAACAGAUAAUUCUAUCAAAACAGCAGGAGAAUGGUACAACUUUAAAUUAUUUUUUAAAAAGUAUUAAAAGUCUCCUGCUUGUUUGUUUUACCCCUGCUUUAAAUUUUACUCUCAUCUGCUGAGCAGAAUCUUGUUUUUUUUUGCUUUAGAUAACAAAAGCACACUUGGAUUUGAUAGGAUGCUGUCACAUGACCUCUCUCUACACCCAAAAAUAUUUGCCUCCUCUUUCUAUACCCAAAAAUAUUUGUCUCUGAGCACACAUAUUUUACAACCUUGAAUUCCUUUGCUUUAGUCCCGGCCAAAAACAGCCCUUCCAAAAAAUGAUGAAAUAUACACCAAGGGCCUCCUCGAUUUGUACCUGCAGCUGCUCAGGCUGUAAGGCCCUGCUAGAAGUUAAUUAUUUAAAAAAUUGGGUUUUAACAACCACAGCUGUCAAAGGAUCUUGUCUCAUUGCACCAGGGACAGCACCAGUGAGUGUCUGACAAAGGAUGCUGAUCUGGGGGUGGGCAGUAAAGAUGAAGAGUGACUGUACCACUGAAUGAGACCAAAUUAAAACUCCUGUGUAACCAAACCUACCUGGCUUAUUCCUCACACAGUCCUCCAGGAGGAAGGAGUCAGCCUGGCAUAACAGCCCUGCCACAGCUGACCACUUCCAUGCUGCUCCUGAAGCUCUUGAAGGACUCAGGACAACACCACAUGAUGGUUUUGACAAUCCUUUGAGACAGUUCCCAUUCUUUAUUUGAGCAUUUCUUUAGCCUGAUGCUAUUUCAUUGUUAAGGUUUAAAUUUAUAACAUUCUGGCCUGAGAGAAGCCACAGUUCACCCAGACAGCUGAACCCUGACUCCACUAAACAGGAUUCCUUCACUGCUCAGGACUGUCACCAGAAGAGAUGCUACAAGCACAUUACAGCAUUUAUACUGUAAAUAUUAAUUUUAGACUGUAAAUGGAUGAUACAAAUCAGUCCUUCUUUUACAUACAGAUGUUGCUGGCCUACAGAACAUCUACCUUCUUAUAACUAUCACUAAUAUCUCUUAUUAUGUCACCUUAGAGCUUUCUCCUUGCACCUGAAAAUCCCCUUCUGGUGUCUGUGCAACCUUUCCCACUGUAGCUUUCCUCUUGAACAGCCUGUUCUGGAAACAUCCUCACAGGUGAGACCAACCAGCAUGAGUUAUCAGGUGGUUAUUAUAGCAUGGGCAAGAGAAUCAUUCCACAGGACUUAAACAUUUGCCAUGUAUUGUCUUAUAUUACCUGUGGGAAUCCAGGGCUUCCCUCUGGCUGCCCUGGAAGGUCUGAGACCCUGGCAGGGGGUCAGGAACCUCCUGUACAGAGCCCCCAGAGACACUGUCUGUGAUCUCUGUCCAUGGAAAAGAGUUUUCAAUCUUACAGGAUGAAUUACAAGCUCCGAGUGUUUGAUAUAAGUAAUAAUUAAGUGUGGCACGGGUGCAAAAGUAAAAUUUUAGGUUUCUAGAUAAGGGGUCCAAAGGGGACAAGAUGGAGGAAAUUGGGUGUGUCUUGUCCUUUUUCUCCUUCUUCAUGCCCUCCAUGUUUCACUGCAGUGUUGGCAUUUUUCUGUUGGUUCAGGCUGGGGACACACUGUUCAAUGUAGGUGACAGAUAUUGGCACAUUAUUGUAAAUACAGCACAGGUAGUUUGUGGUAUUUAAUGUUUGUACCAUCCCACUGAGGGCAGAGCCCCACACGCUGCCCUGCAGGACAGAGCUGCGGCAGGGCAGCAGAACAUGUUAGAGAUAAACAGAAUAAACAACCUUGAAACCAGCACAGACGAAUUAUGGCUUCUUCUUUGGCAACGGGGCAGAAAGACAGAGACUUUCUACAAUCUCGGAAUCAUCAAUACCACAGAUUCUGACAAUUACCUAAAAAAACUGCAAAUGUUUCACCCAAGGUGAAGAAGAACUUUGUCUUUCUCAGAGAGCCUCUGCUCCAAGCCUGUGACAUGAGGCUGGUGUGGCAAUGCCACCUGAAUGUGUCCGACUGUCACUGAGCCCAUCAACAGCUGCAUCAUAAAUCCCUGGCUUUAACAAAGUACAGCUGCAAUGUUCCAACCCAGCUGGAGCUGCUCUACCAACCCCUGGAGGAGGACUGGGAGCAAUAUUGAUCCUACCUGACUCAUCUCCCUGGAAAACACAAAUCCUCUGGGCAUCUCUAACAGCCCAAAAAUUUGCCAUGCAGAAGUAGAAACCUCCACUAAUCCCUGGGAUCAAAGAGAAUCUUAAAGCUUUAGGGAUUUGGCUAUCCUUGGAAUGGUGUUCUUACUGAACUGUAUGUUAGACACCUUCACUUAUGGCUUUUUUUAGUGGCAUUUGGAAAAACAGUACCUGAGGUUUAUCCUCCAAGAUGGAGAUGUGCUGCAUUUGAAGUCUGAGGGCUUUAUACAAAUCAUGUAAUUAGUACUUGGACAAAAAGAUCAAGAAAAAUUUGUUGUUUUUUUCCCCACUGUUUAAGUGCAGGUAUGCUUUUCAAUCAAAAGCUGGCUGUCUGCCAAGAAAAAAGCUUGUAGCAGAAAUUUUUCAGAGGAAAAGCACGAUGUCCUAUUCAGUUUGCAAAAUCCUGAGUAUUCCUGAAGGCAAGCAAAGAGUCGAGGAGCAUUAGUUAGAAGUUUUAUUGCUGUUGCAAUGCAAAUACUAAACCCUUACAAAAAUAAAUUGUAGCAGACACAAUAAAAUGCAUUUUAACAUAGCACCUUAAAAAAAUUAUACUUGCCAGGCAUCAUGGUAUCUUCAUGAAUAAUCUCUCAUAAGCCAAAAGGUACAAUAUUAUGCAGUCAACAAUUGCCACGAGUGCAAUGACCAAAAGGGUGAUCACUGCUGACACCUAAGGGGCACAACCUCUUAAUGGAAUAAAAAAGUACUUUUACAGGAAAUAACAAUGAUUUCAGAGCUGAGGUAGUAAGCUGUUAUUCUGCCCUAUAUACAGAUAAAAUUGUACAUGAGGCAUACAAGCACUUUUCAGUACACUAGCCACUUUUUAAAAUAAUUUCUAUUUCAGGAAAAAAGCCAAAAAAAAACCCAACUCCCCCCUCCUUUGCCAAACAGCCUUAACUUCAGCCUUAACUGGCGCAGAGCCAGAGGUGUUCAAGUUGAAGUUGUAAAAAGUAAGCAUUUAACAGCUAGACAGACUAAAGAAUAAAAGUUCUGUGCAGAUAAUAAUAAUUGGAAUAGCAAAUUUAACAUAUUCUCAGAUUCCUGGAGCCACCUUCAAAUCUGGGGUAGGAGCUGGCAACAUCUGAAUUCCAGGCACAAGCCAGAGGUGCCUGCCCAUUGCCAGCAGGAGCAGGGUUUGGGGAACAAAGCACAGGAGCAAAAUGCUGAUGACUUUCUAACCUGCUUUAAAAAAAAAGAAAAAAAAACAUUUUGGUGUUCAGUAUUUCCUGUAUCCCAAAUGCUCGGAGAAGCAAAAGCAGGAAAACAAGAAAUUCUGUGGAAAAGGUGCUUCCCAGUACCUAAAGAGACCACAGGAGAGCUGGAGAGGGGCUUUUGGUCUGAACCAAGGACUACCUUUGUUUUCUGCCUCAUCCAAAACUUCAUUGUGCCAACGAAUCCAUAUCCAAAAAAUUCAAAUACUCUGUCACUCUGCUCAACAUCCCCUCUCAGCACGACAUCCCACAGGGCUUUCCUUCUGAUGCAAGUGGUUUAGUACUUACAAGUCAACCAACACGCUCACUGAAGUGGCAUUCCCUCAGGAAAACAUUCAAAUGAGCUCCUCUAUUAAAUUACAAAAUAGAUCAGCCUACAGUUGUUUAACAUGCACUUGAGUUUCUCUUACAACAGGGCAUCCUUCAGUGUUUAGCAGAAGCAUGUUCCUGUGCUACUCAAUUAUCUUCUUGCUGAAGAAACAUUAGACCUCUGAUGUUUCAUGCAAACCCAUGUAGGAAGAUAUUUAGGACACCACUCAUAAUCAUUAAUGAAAAUAUUGCAUUUAUAUGUAGUCUACCUGCAUGAAAUUCAAUGAAAAAAACUGGCUGCAGGCUGCAAAGGCAGGUUUAAAAAUGGAUACCAUUAUCAUUCAGCAACAUUCAAAUCCAAGGGAGGAGAAAACCCCACCAGCCUUAACUCUGUGGUCUGCCUUUUAUGAACUUAAAAUUCACAGAAGGAUUUUACUGCAGGGUACUCCUGUUGAUAAAUAACAAUAACAAUCCAGAAUCCUGAUGAUCUGGAUUAGAGGAAGGUUUCUGCAUCCUCAGCAGGAAUUUUCCUCUAGGAACACAAGACAGCUUUGAACAAGACCUUUUCCAUGACUGUGAAGAUGCCUUCCCUGCAGAGAGGUGGAUCCCUUACCAACUCCUCACUAUAUAUAUGGUGUUUUUUUAAACAAAUGAGUUCAGUUUCAUGAGCUGUGACUCCAGGUGAAGAUGCAGGGAUCCAGGUCACAAUGACACAUUUAUCACUCUGCACUGGGAAGAAUACCAGAAUAGCUGGGAACAUGGAUUUAUGCUCCAGGCAUCCUGACCCUGGUAUAAUCAGGAACAGUUCCCACAAACCACCUGUACUGCACAGCUGGAACCAGGACCCUCAAAAGACAUCAAGGACCAGGAAAACUGCACUAAGGCUGGGACAGAGCAAGGCAGGACAGACCAGGGAAAACAUCCAGCAACAGAGAUAUCUGCUCUACCAUGGGUCAGGAAGAAAAAGGUCAUGUAACAUUCACAGAGCACAAUAUCAACAUAGUCAGGGGAGAAAAAAAAUCAUGCUGUUUCCAAUCAAUUGAAAAUAAGUCAAUAAAGUAAAUUAUCACUGCUUUGGUAGGAUUCCAGCCCCAAAAGGCCAAUUAAAUCUUCCCCUUCCAUGUGCAUGUGUUUUCUUUAUACAUGUAGGAAGACAAUUCCAUUAAAUGAGAAAAUAAACUGAUUUAAUUCUCAGUAUCAGGUUUUGUUUUCAGCCACUCACAAAACCAAAAUUUUUGUAUAUUGUACAAUAGGAAUGCACUGGCAAUAAGGGAUUUAAUUUCAACCCUACAGACAAGAAGCUCUGCCAGGCAGGUUAGUGAGACCCAAAACAGGAGGAGCUCUUGGCCAAGGCUCUCUGCAGAUGUGCAGGACAAGAUGCUCCAUCCCACAGCACCAGGAGGACCAACACUCACACAGUUAUUCACACUCACACAGCUAUUCACACUCACACAGUUAUUCACACUCACACAGUUAUUCACACUCACACAGUUAUUCACACUCACACAGUUAUUCACACUCACACAGUUAUUCACAAGGAACUCUGUGCCCUUCUUCUGCCCUCUAAUGCUCUCAAGUUUGCAUCCACACAGCUUAGCACAAAGAGGAGCCCCAGCAUUCCCUUGAUUCUUGUAUUUGGAAGGAAGUGUUUCAGAUGACAGCAGAAGAGACGAGACCAAUAAUGGGAAGCAAAAAUUCGGUGGGGAGCAAUUCAAAUGUGAAACUGUUAAUUAAAUAUGCAAAAUACUUGCAGAAGCAGCAAGGGAUAGGAAAAAGCCAAAACAAAACCAAAUGCUGCAUCUACUGUAAACAAGUGUGAACACAGAGAAUAAAUAUAUCUACCUUCCAAAAUGGGAUUUGACUUUCUAAUCUCUGGUCUACAUAUUUCAGAUUUGCUUCUUUUUUAAACACAUGUUCUGUGAAGGAUGUCUCUGCAAGAUUAAGACAAGAAGUAAAUAUUUCAGCACUUGGAAAAGAAACAGGAAAAACUGUUUGUUGUUCAAGAUUUCUUGAAUCCCGCAGAACACAGCAAACAGCUUCUGCUCCUGUUUAACAGAAAUGGCUUACCACUAUGUCAGUAAAGUGUGUCCCUUGUUACCAAACAGGCAGCAAGGAGCUGUGACAAGCUCAGAACAAUUCUAGGCACAAUUCACAGAGCUGCAGAUAAGAAAGGAGGAGUUGAAACAUUUAAAGCAGUUUGUGGAGGAGAAGAAGAGCUGCAUGCAAUUUUAUUAUUACUGCAACUUCUGUAGUACACAGGAGCAGCAUGAAAAAGAAUCCCUCUGUGCUGGACACUGUAAACAUGGAGCAAGAGCAAGCUCCCCCAAAAAGUCUCUGAUUAAAGCAUAAAACAAGAUAAACAAACACUAGCACAAGGUCACACAGAAGACAAUCUGCAAUUCAUACUCAAACUAAUUUUACUUCUAUAUACACAAAAAACUCAAACUGGGUUUAACAAUAAACACUGUAACUGCUAUCACCCAGCCCCUAUAAAAUGCUGCUUAUUCCAGCCACCAGGCUGAGUUUUCAGAACAUGGUGGGUACCACACAGAAGAUGGAGGGUACCACAAUUCCCAUCUUACAUAGGUGCAAAGAGACAUCUAAACAUAAUUGCAGUGGGUUCCAGAUUAAAACAGAUCAGCCCUCAGCCUGUGAACACAAUGAAUCACCUUCAGCUUAAAAGAUGGUGUCCUGGCUUAGGCUGGGAGAGAGUCAAUUUUCUGCCUAGUAGCUGGUACAGUGCUGAGGUUUGGAUUCAGCCUGAGAAUAAUGUUGAUGCUUCAGUAGCUGCUGAGCAGAGCCCACCCCAAGUGAAGGACUCUGCGGUGUCCCGGGCUCUGCCAGGGAGGAGCUGCAGCAGGAGCUGGGCUGGAGCAUGGCCAGGACAGCUGAUCCCCCUGGGCAGAGCCCAUCCCACCCCACGGGAUGCCAGCCCAGGCUGUGAGCCGGGGCAGUGGGCAGAGGGGCUGAAGGCUGCUGAGGGACAGGCUGGGCAUCAGGGGGUGGGUGGUGAGGGACUGCACUGUGAUCACUCAUCUGUCUGGACUGUACUCCCUUUUUAAUGAUCUCCCUUCUCACUAUCAUAACAACAAUAAUAAUAAUAUCAUUAUUGCUUAAUUCAAGUAUUAAACCAUUCUUAUCUCAACCCACAAGUUGUACCUUUUCCUGAUUCUUCUCCCAUUCCCCCAACACCUGCUCAACCAGGCCAGGCUGUUUCCAGAAGCAGACCCAGUCAGCUGAGGUCUCUGCAGCCAGCCUGUAGCACCAGCUAAAACAUUCCAUGCCACAGACUGAGCCAAUGCUCAGGACACUGCUGGGCUCCUGACAGGAGCAGUUUUAUGGGAAAAGGAGAGUAAGCCUUUUGGGGAGAGUUUUAUGGGGAAAAGGGAGAUGAAUCUCAUGCACACAAACUGACAAGGAGAGACACGCAGUGAUUGAUGCUGUACAUAAUAAACACAACUGGGAAGAGUCUAGACAGGCUUUCAGUGUGUAAAUAUCAAAUUAUAUGAAACAUGCUGGAGGGACUUGUAGCAACCUCUCAUUUUAAGGUUCUACCUGAAAUUUAAAAGAAAGGCAGCAAUACCAUCCCUGGCUCCUUGCCUAAGCAGAUUCUGCUGAUUUGCUUAACCAGACAAAUCACAUAAACCCUGUGGUUUAUAAACACCUUUACAAGUUCAUUCUCAAUGAGUAAAUGGAGAAAACCUAUGGGUCUGAGUUUUUUCCCUGAAGAAAAAGUGGGUGAGGGAGGAAAGUCUCCUUUCCCUUCAUCCUUCUUCAUUUUCCCAGCAGGCUACAAAACUGCCGUGUGCCCAGUUCUGUCACUGUCCUGCCCAAUGCUCACAGGAUUCUAUUCUCCCUUUGAGAACAACAUGAAAAUAGUUUCCCACUGCUUUCUUCCCAAACACUUUGCCUAAAUUACUAAAAGGUAACGUUAACUGGUCCUGGCACAACCCUUGUGCUCUGGAAAAGCUUCCCACAAAGCACAUCUGAACCACCAAUCCUUUAUCAGCUCUCCAAUUUCAGAAAUGAAUCAGUCUUGCAGUUAAACCUCCUCACAUGCUCUUGUGAUGGGCAGCAAAACCAGAAGUCAGUGAUACACUACAUAACCUGCUAAGUUAAAUGAAAGAUUUGGAGGGUCUGAAAAGGGGGUUUGAUCUUUCACUCAAUAAAUAAACAAAUAAUUAAGUGAUCCACAAGAUGAAUGCAACUCACCCUGAACACAGGGAAGAGAACUCCAGAGGGAUGUCCAGGACUAUAUCAAAAAGCCACAAGUUCUGAGAGCAACAGAUGUUUCCUGUCAAAUCAUUCCUUUUGGGACCAAAGACAAACCACUGGGUUUCUGCUGGAUGAAAAGCCAUCAGGUGUAACUCACCUGUCUCACAACAGCUACACAUCAGUGCCUGCACAUCUGGGAAUCUCUACCAUGGAGCAUCACAUAAUGUGGAAGAAAUUGGAUCCUCCCCAGACAGCCUGCUCUUUAUGUUGAUGCCCUC